AUGAACGCUGGCGGCGUGCCUAAUACCUGCCAGUCGAGCGCACGGACGAGAAGCUUGCUUUUCUGAUGUUAGCGGCGGACGGGUGAGUAACACGUGGAUAACCUACCUAUAAGACUGGGAUAACUUCGGGAAACCGGAGCUAAUACCGGAUAAUAUUUUGAACCGCAUGGUUCAUAAGUGAAAGACGGUCUUGCUGUCACUUAUAGAUGGAUCCGCGCUGCAUUAGCUAGUUGGUAAGGUAACGGCUUACCAAGGCAACGAUGCAUAGCCGACCUGAGAGGGUGAUCGGCCACACUGGAACUGAGACACGGUCCAGACUCCUACGGGAGGCAGCAGUAGGGAAUCUUCCGCAAUGGGCGAAAGCCUGACGGAGCAACGCCGCGUGAGUGAUGAAGGUCUUCGGAUCGUAAAACUCUGUUAUUAGGGAAGAACAUAUGUGUAAGUAACUGUGCACAUCUUGACGGUACCUAAUCAGAAAGCCACGGCUAACUACGUG
rnacentral:rRNA from 1 species